AUUCAUUGUUGAUGUUGAACGUGAUAUGUCAUCGAGCGGGUAGGCAAACAGUAGGCUCGGGUAGGCAAAUUUAGAAUUGUUGAAUUGUUGGAAUGCUUAGAAUAUUUGUUGAAUGUUUUGUUUAUCGUAUUUGAAAAGUGUAUUUAUUUAACCGGGGAAUGCCCCGAGGUCAUUUGUAUUUACUCAUCGGGGAAUGCCCCAAAGAAUUUUGUACGCAAAGGAUGGUCGUGAUCAAGGCCCGAGGCAUCGGGUAAAGCAUAGUUUAGGACUAGUGUAGGUUAUUUCAGUAUUUUUAUUUCGGGACUGUAUAACUCGGACUGGACACUAUAUUUCGGAUCCCUUUGGUUUUUGUUUCUUUGUUU
rnacentral:lncRNA from 1 species